GACUAUUUUAUAUAGCUUUAUACAUUUAUAAUUAUUUUACUGUUUAUUGGUCCAAUGUGUUGAGCCCCGAGGAAAGAUUGUUAGCGAGGGUGAAGCACCAGGCUACACUGUUAUGCAGGCAUUGUUCACUUCCACCUGUUGUUGAGCUCGCCAUUUUUGUUCUUCAAUCAUUUUUUCGUCGUUUAACGUGUGUUGAGCUGAAGACGAAUAAGCCGUACCCAGCGUGUUUUAGCGCUGUGCUGCAGGGGUUGCGGCAGAUGGAAUGACACUUGGUGAGAAGCUCCGUGAAACACCAAAGUGAGCUUCACUGGUCAUUACAUAGUGAAGUAGCCGCACGAUUGCAGUUUAUAAACGGUCAGCACAAAGAUGACCAUUAUCUCAUUGUGGAGGAGAUCAUCUCGCCUACUGCUUCGGAUGAGCUCCUAUUGAGCAGGAUAGUGCUUCGUGCAGAUACUGUACUAUCAUUGUUCUGGAGGAGAACCACUUGUUAAUGAUCAAACGUUCGGUAGUCAGUGUUACAUUUUAAGGGCGUGGGACAUCUCUUCGCCAUCUAUGGUGUGAUCCUUGUACAGCAGUCGUCAGUCGUGCGUUUCUCCACCCCCCCCUCCCCACCCACUCCCAGAGAAUUGGAUGAUAGCUGCCGGUACUUACUAGGAGGGGGUAAAUUUAUAUUAUCAAAUCAUAAUAUACCGAUCUCCAUUUUUUUUUCUUUGACAAAGGAGGCAGGCCAUGAGGAAAAAUCGCGGCUUCUACAAUAAAAUCACAGAAAAAAAAAAUCAGGGUGAUAAAAAUGAUGUGUGUUCAAUACAUCCACACCCCCUCUCUUGUGUCGAAACGCCUACAGCUCGAAACAUUGUGUAUUGUGAGUUUGAUACUGAAAGCUCAUCGAGUAGUUCAGUGAUGCAAUACACUUUAAUAAUUGACCCUCGCUAAUGCUUUGAAUACAUAAAAUACGGUACAAAUCUAAAUGCGAUAUAGAACAUCAAAGGAAGCAUUGACAAAAAUAGGGGUAAUAAUAUUAUUGUAACAACGUUUAACAAUGAUGAAAGGAAAAACGAAUAAGUAUAAUGGUAAAUUCGAAUCAUAGGGUCGAAGCAUCAGGGUUCCGAGCCUGUUGUUAGGAGCUCCUCUCCAUUUAGUCCCUCGCGAACGGCUGGCGGAGGAGGCAGUGGCGCUGGGCAGGGCGUUGACGUGGAUGUCGCCAUCGUGCAAGCCACCUGACUCACCUCCACCAAACUGAUGGAGUGACGUGUUGACUGACUGGCGAUUGCCACCGCUACGUUCUGAAGUAUGACUGACAGCGGUUUCGUCUCUUCGCUGGGUACAAGGCAGCUCUCCAUCCAGGUUGCUUUGGUGGGUACAGCAACACCGAUGACGACUUGUUGGAGAUUUGUGAUGGCUGGCAGAGUCAAUGGAGCACCUGAAAGCAACAGUCCAACAAUUUAUAUAUUCUGUAACUGCAGAAAACCCUCUAAUCACAGCUCUCAAGUCUGAUUAUACGUACAUUAUCAGGCUCUGGCAACUUGAUGUCACAGCUGUGUGACGGUGACGGCAGGUUGCUGCAGCAUUCCUUGGGUGCCCUGAUAUCACUUCUCAGUUUCUUACAAGGCAUAUGUAACUGUGGUAUGAAUAUACCUCUGAGGUGAACAUGGAGCAGUCACCCUUUUGAGGGAUUGAUUUACACAGACACGCAGACAUGCAUGGAAGAGAAUGUUGUACUGUAUGUCAACGAUACCACCCAACCUCUCUUCAAAAUAUAUAAUGGUUUUGCACAAACUAGUGCUCCAAAUGUCAAGGCAGGAGAGUCAGAUAGAGCAACUCGCCCAAAAGCAAAUGAAAACUCUGUUGUUUCAAACAAGAUUAACACCAGUCAGUCUAUGACAGGAGAUAUGCACACCAUGAUUGUGCCAGUGUGGUUACAGCACAGUAGCAAUGAACAUGGUAAAAGGUUGGUAUAUGCAUUAUUGGAUUGUCAGUCUGAUGCCUGUUUCAUCAAAGAAAGCACCUUGGGAAGAAGGUGAGUUAGUGGCUCACCAGUACACCUCAAGCUCUCCACAAUAAUGGGAGAACAGAUUGUGCCCUGCACAAAAGACGGACUUGUGGUACGAGGAUUCGGUGAGCACCUGCACAUAGAUCUUCCACCUACAUAUUCCAAGGAAAAUAUUCCUGCUAAAGAAGCUCAAAUACCAUGCCCCAAGACAGCCUAAACCUGGCCACACUUAGCAAGUAUCUCUAACAAACUGAUGCUUUAUGAUUCAAAUGUAGAUGUGGCACUUAUUGGAGUUAACUAUAUCAGAGCCAUUAAGCCCAAGGAGAUUAUUGUGAGAUGAAGAUGAUCCUUAUGGACUAAAAACAAACUUAGGAUGGGGCAUUGUGGGCCAAGCAGUUAAAGAAACAAACGGUUUUGGAUGAUGCAGCGAGAGAUACAGAAUGAUAGCUUGAGAAGAUUUUAACUGUUUCACGCACCAAAAGUUUAAUAAGUCUCUUUCCACUGCGACAUUAUAGACGAAUCAUAUGUGUGCACAGCUUAACAUCUUGUGUAUUACACUGUGUUUGUUGUGUGUACACCUCACAAAUAUGUCACGCCUCGCCUGUUCAAAUGUGUAUGUGGCUCACUCAGGUUUUGCCAUCACAGUCAAGAGCAAACGGCAUAAAUAACCGCAUCUGGCAAUGCACAAUAUUGUCAAAAAUUAGCGAAGUGUGUGAAACAAUCUGUCAAGCACCAUGCUGAUUCGAGUCUUCGUUUGAAA